CUUCUCUGGCGAAAGGUGAAUGACGUACAAAAUGCAAAACUAAGGCUACCUCUUCUCCGACGAUGUUUGAGUAAAUCUACUCUAAUUUGUGAAUUUCAAGAGUCAAGACCCCAUUCUCUGAACUCCGAAGACUCACAACAAGAGAAUCUGAAUUUUUCAGUUGUUUGUGAAUGAAGAACUAAGAAGCCAUAGGUGCUAACGAGUUCUUGUCAUCAACGAAGCUAAUUGAGCACUUUUGCAAAUCAAAGGGACUAUUUGAAGGCUAUCAAGGAAAUUAACAUGGAAUCAUAUGAGUGGUUGGAGAAAGAACCCACAAGUUCUGGUCUAGGCAGCAUUUGACAUUGGAUCAAAGAGUGAUCAUGUUACAAACAAUACUACAGAAUCUUUCAACCAAGAUAUCAGCUUUAAGAGACAAGUAAAUUAUGACUAUGAUUGACCAAAUAAGGAUUUUGUUGAUGGAUAGGGUUGUUUAAAUUAAAUCAAUAUGAGCUUAGUUGUGUGUAUGAUGAUCCAAUCAUGUAUGUGGUCAAUAAAAACUAGAGAAGAUUCGACAGAAGUCUAGGGACUGCGUAGUCCAUUCAUCAAGUCCAUAUGCAUUUGAGGUGGUAGAUUUCCAUCAAAAUAGAUUUGUAGUGUAUUAAAUAGAUCGAACAUGUGGGUGUAGAGUAUGGGAAUUUACUGGGUUGCCAUGUAUACAUGCAAGAGCAGCUAUGUCACACAUGCGAUUAACUAUUGAGAACAACUGUGAUGAAUUCUAUAAUGUCAUGAGAUGUAUAGAAAUGUAUAAAGAGUUGAUCCAA